AUACGGAGGGUGCAAGCGUUAUUCGGAAUCACUGGGCGUAAAGGACGCAUAGGCGGGUUGGCAAGUCAGAUGUGAAAUCCUACAGCUUAACUGUAGAACUGCAUUUGAAACUGCUAACCUAGAGUAUGGGAGGGGGAGAUGGAAUUAGUGGUGUAGGGGUAAAAUCCAUAGAUAUCACUAGGAAUACCGAAAGCGAAGGCGAUCUCCUGGAACAUAACUGACGCUAAGGCGUGAAAGCGUGGGGAGCAAACAGGAUUAGAAACCCCAGUAGUCC
rnacentral:rRNA from 1 species